rnacentral:ncRNA from 2 species
GGUUGAGCGUAAGCUUCAAGACAUAGUUCCCAAGGGUGAGGGAAC